GCUGUGGCUUAGUGGAAGAUCAUCUGCUUUGCAUGCAGAAGGGGCCAGGUUCAGUUCCUAACAUCUCCA
rnacentral:tRNA from 1 species